rnacentral:rRNA from 1 species
GACGAACGCUGGCGGCGUGCUUAACACAUGCAAGUCGAACGGAAAGGCCCUGCUUUUGUGGGUUGCUCGAGUGGCGAACGGGUGAGUGACACGUGAGUAACCUGCCCUUGACUUUGGGAUAACUUCAGGGGACUGGGGCUAAUACAGGAGAGGAGCUACUGAUGCAUGGUGGGGGAUGGAAAGAUUCGGCUGUUGGGGAUGGACUCGCGGCUUAUCAGCUUGUUGGUGGGGUAGGGGCUUACCAAGGCUGUGAAGGGUAGCCGGCCUGAGAGGGGGACCGGCCACAUUGGGACUGAGGUACGGCCCAGUCUCGUACGGUAGGCAGCAGGCGGGAAUCUUGCACAAUGGGCGGAAGCCUGAGGCAGCAACGCCGCGUGCGGGAAGACGUCCUUCGGGUGGUAAACAGCUUUCGCCUGUGACGAAGCGUGAGUGACGGUAAUGGGUAAAGAAGCAACGGCUAACUACGUG